rnacentral:rRNA from 1 species
CCUACGGGAGGCAGCAGUGGGGAAUAUUGCACAAUGGGGGAAACUCUGAUGCAGCGACGCCGCGUGAGUGAAGAAGUAUUUCGGUAUGUAAAGCUCUAUUAGCAGGGAAGAAGCAAGACGGUACUUGACUAAGUAGCUUCGGCUAACUACGGGCCAGAAGCCGCGGUAACACGUAGGGGGCAAGCGUUAUUCGGAUUUACUGGGUGUAAAGGGAGCGUAGGUGGUCUGGCAAGUCUGAAGUGAAAGCCCACGGCUUAACCCUGGAACUGCAUUGGAAACUGUUAGACUAGAGUGCUGGAGAGGUAAGUGGAAUUCAUGGUGUAGCGGUGAAAUGCGUAGAUAUUAGGAGGAACACCAGUGGCGAAGGCGGCUUACUGGACAGUAACUGACGUUGAGGCUCGAAAGCGUGGGUAGCAAACAGGAUUAGAUACCCUAGUAGUC